GACGAACGCUGGCGGCGUGCUUAACACAUGCAAGUCGAACGGAAAGGCCCUGCUUUUGUUGGGUGCUCGAGUGGCGAACGGGUGAGUAACACGUGAGUAACCUGCCCUUGACUUUGGGAUAACUUCAGGAAACUGGGGCUAAUACCGGAUAGGAGCUCCUGCUGCAUGGUGGGGGUUGGAAAGUUUCGGCGGUUGGGGAUGGACUCGCGGCUUAUCAGCUUGUUGGUGAGGUAGUGGCUUACCAAGGCUUUGACGGGUAGCCGGCCUGAGAGGGUGACCGGCCACAUUGGGACUGAGAUACGGCCCAGACUCCUACGGGAGGCAGCAGUGGGGAAUAUUGCACAAUGGGCGGAAGCCUGAUGCAGAAACGCCGCGUGCGGGAUGACGGCCUUCGGGUUGUAAACCGCUUUCGCCUGUGACGAAGCGUGAGUGACGGUAAUGGGUAAGGAAGCACCGGCUAACUACGUG
rnacentral:rRNA from 1 species